GUGCUUACUUCAGCAGCACAUAAACUAAAAUAGGAAUGAGACAGAGAAGAUCAGCAUGGCCCCUGUUCAAGGAUGGCACUCAAAUUCGUGAAGCGUUCCAUAUUUAA
ensembl:snRNA U6 U6 spliceosomal RNA